rnacentral:rRNA from 1 species
GAGUUUGAUCAUGGCUCAGGAUGAACGCUAGCGGCAGGCUUAACACAUGCAAGUCGAGGGGCAUCAGCCGAUGUAGCAAUACAUUGGUGUUGGCGACCGGCGUAAGGGUGCGUAACGCGUGAGCAACAUGCCCGCAACAGGCGGAUAGACCGUGGAAACGCGGCGUAAACCGCCAUAGGACCAGUAGCAGCAUUGCAACAGGUUGAAAUCUUCGGAGGUUGCGGAUUGGCUCGCGUAACAUUAGCUAGAUGGAGAGGUAACGGCUCACCAUGGCUACGAUGUUUAGGGGAACUGAGAGGUUGACCCCCCACACUGGAACUGAGACACGGUCCAGACUCCUACGGGAGGCAGCAGUGAGGAAUAUUGGACAAUGGAUGGAAAUCUGAUCCAGCCAUGCCGCGUGCAGGAAGAAGGUCCUAUGGAUUGUAAACUGCUUUAGUGCGGGAGCAAUAAGGUCCACGAGUGGACCGAUGAGAGUACCGCAAGAAUAAGCAUCGGCUAACUCCGUGCCAGCAGCCGCGGUAAUACGGGGG